GGAUUCUCUCUAUAGCAUAAAAAGUGGACAGUUUUGAGAUUCCAUCUUGAACAAAUCAGUGCUAGGAAGUUGCGUAGAGGCCAACCAGGAUUAUUUGGAAGAUGACACGGGUCNNNNNNNNNNAAUAGCACCUUUUGCCCAUCACCCUGGCAAGCUUCCCAGUCCUUUAGAUGCCUAAUAGUAGCAUGGGAAUUCGAAGCAAUACAGACCAGAAAGAAUGGCACACCAGCAGUUAAACUUGAGUUACGCCAACCAUUACAAGCUACUGACACAGAAUCUGCCUCUUCUAAAGUAAACCAUUGUGAAGCAGGCUUCAACUCAACAACUGUUACAG
rnacentral:misc_RNA from 1 species